rfam:Danio rerio chromosome 6, GRCz11 reference primary assembly.
GUACACAGCCAUACCACCCUGCAGCUCAAGAUCAGUUACUCACUGAAGCUAAGCAGGGUUGAGCCUGGUUAGUACCUGGAUGGGAGACCACAUGGGAAAACCAGGUUGCUGUUGGAA